rnacentral:rRNA from 1 species
GACGAACGCUGGCGGCGUGCCUAAUACAUGCAAGUAGAACGCUGAAGGAGGAGCUUGCUCUUCUGGAUGAGUUGCGAACGGGUGAGUAACGCGUAGGUAACCUGCCUGGUAGCGGGGGAUAACUAUUGGAAACGAUAGCUAAUACCGCAUAACAUUGACUAUUGCAUGAUAGUCAAUUAAAAGGUGCAAUUGCACCACUACCAGAUGGACCUGCGUUGUAUUAGCUAGUUGGUGGGGUAACGGCUCACCAAGGCGACGAUACAUAGCCGACCUGAGAGGGUGAUCGGCCACACUGGGACUGAGACACGGCCCAGACUCCUACGGGAGGCAGCAGUAGGGAAUCUUCGGCAAUGGACGGAAGUCUGACCGAGCAACGCCGCGUGAGUGAAGAAGGUUUUCGGAUCGUAAAGCUCUGUUGUAAGAGAAGAACGAGUGUGAGAGUGGAAAGUUCACACUGUGACGUAUCUACCAGAAAGGACGCA